rnacentral:rRNA from 1 species
GACGAACGCUGGCGGCGUGCUUAACACAUGCAAGUCGAACGGAAAGGCCUGUCCUUCCUUGUGUUGGACGGGUACUCGAGUGGCGAACGGGUGAGUAACACGUGAGUGAUCUGCCCCCAACUUGGGUAUAAGCCUGGGAAACUGGGUCUAAUUCCCGAUAGGACUGCAGGGUGGUGCCUGUGGUGGAAAACGAUUUUCUAGUGGUUGGGGAUGAGCUCGCGGCCUAUCAGCUUGUUGGUGGGGUAAUGGCCUACCAAGGCGGCGACGGGUAGCCGGCCUGAGAGGGUGGACGGCCACAUUGGGACUGAGAGACGGCCCAGACUCCUACGGGAGGCAGCAGUGGGGAAGAUUGCACAAUGGGCGGAAGCCUGAUGCAGCGACGCCGCGUGGGGGAUGACGGCCUUCGGGUUGUAAACUCCUUUCGACCGCGAGGAAGCCGCCUGGUUGGAAGGGUGGUGACGGUAGUGGUAGAAGAAGCACCGGCUAACUACGUG